rnacentral:rRNA from 1 species
UACGGAGGUGGCAAGCGUUGUUCGGAAUUACUGGGCGUAAAGGGCGCGUAGGCGGCAAGGCAAGUCAGGUGUGAAAGCCCCGAGCUUAACUCGGGAAUUGCAUCUGAAACUGCUGUGCUUGAGUUCUGGAGGGGGUAGUGGAAUUCCCAGUGUAGCGGUGAAAUGCGUAGAUAUCAGGAGGAACACCGGUGGCGAAGGCGGGUCUCUGGGCCGAUACUGACGCUGAGACGCGAAAGCGUGGGGAGCGAACAGG